UUGUGACAGGAUGAGCUGCUGUCAAACAUAAGCAAGGAAUAGGGAGAAAUCUGGAGAACAGAAAUUGCACGAGGGCACACGGAGAUUGUGCAGGGGUACCCGUAGGAUCCAACGAGGUACUGUAAUGAGACACCAGGUGCAAGGAGAAGAAGUGUUCCCAGAUGAAGCUCAGAGCAGAGACUGUUAAAGUUUGUACAACAGGAAGUCUCUUAUGCUCUUGAUGAAGACAACAGGCGAAGACCUU
rnacentral:lncRNA from 1 species